UAACUGCCAGGAAGAAAAAAACGCCUUCUCCCAUAAACUUCUCUCUGGAUUGAAACAACAUACACGAGUUUCUCUGCAAUGCUCUAUCCUUCCAAUGGAAACAGUUUUGAAUAAUGAACAAGAAGAAGUAUAUGAUUGGAUCGUAGCAUUACACAUUCUACGAUGAGGUACGGCAAGGAACGAGUGCCUAAGUUCAUUGCGCUCUUUGUAUCCUCUGAAUGAGAUUGUUGUCAAAAUCGGGCUUCGAGCGCGACAGUUGCGAUUUGGUAAUAUUUCUCUAUUUCUUUUUCCUUAUUUUGUAAACUGCUUAAUCUAGAAGGUUAAGUUUUUUGUUAGAAAAGGGACAUACAUUUAUUUAUUUGAUAUAUGCAAGUAAAACUCUACGUGUUUGUGUA